rnacentral:rRNA from 1 species
AUUGAACGCUGGCGGCAUGCCUAACACAUGCAAGUCGAGCGGAGCGGCGGACGGGUGAGUAAUGCCUAUGAAUCUGCCUGGUAGUGGGGGAUAACGUCCGGAAACGGGCGCUAAUACCGCAUACUAUCAGAUGAGACUAGGUCGGAUUGGCUAGUUGGUGGGGUAAAGGCCUACCAAGGCGACGAUCCGUAACUGGUCUGAGAGGAUGAUCAGUCACCUGGGAGCGUGAACACGGUCCAGACUACUACGGGAGGGAGCAGUGGGGAAGAUUGGACAAUGGGCGAAAGCCUUGUCCAGCGGUGCAGCGUGUGUGAAGAAGGUGUUCGGGGUGUAAAGUACUUUCAGCGGGGAGGCGUUACCCGCAGAAGAAGCACCGACUAACUACGUGCCAGCAGCCGCGGUAAUAC